rnacentral:rRNA from 1 species
GACGUAGGGCGCGAGCGUUGUCCGGAUUUAUUGGGCGUAAAGAGCUCGUAGGCGGCUUGUCGCGUCGGCUGUGAAAACCCGCGGCUCAACUGUGGGCUUGCGGUCGAUACGGGCAGGCUAGAGUUCGGUAGGGGAGACUGGAAUUCCUGGUGUAGCGGUGAAAUGCGCAGAUAUCAGGAGGAACACCGGUGGCGAAGGCGGGUCUCUGGGCCGAUACUGACGCUGAGGAGCGAAAGCGUGGGGAGCGAACAGG